UUUACUUUACCUGUUAAACUGUCUUUAUCUCACGAGCUUUCUCACUUUUACUUUCGUAUUCCUCUCCCCCAUCCCACUGUGGGGAGAGUGGGUGAGCAGCUGCUGUGGGGCUUAGCUGCCAGCUGGGGUUAAACCACAACAGUCUAUGAGAGAUUUUCCACCGGUUGUUCCAGACUUUGGACGAGAUGUCUUACAGCCUUAUUGCAAGACUAAAGAAGAUAGAGGAUCUUUAUUGCAGGACAUGUAUCUAAAUAUCUGAAGUGCAAACAUAAAACAUCUUCCAGUUGUAUUAAGAGAGGUUAUCUGAGCUAUCAGACUCAGUAUUUGCUUCUCUGUUUUGGGGAACUGUUUUUGUACUGUUUUACAGGUUUUCUGGUUCGCGAAAAUCUUGCAAUUCACUUGUAAGUCUUCAAGUUAUAACCUUGCAAAGUAUAACAACAUCAGUGCCAAAAUUAAUUUCCAGCCCUGUAAAAGCAAACUAAUGUGUGAUGCAGACAAUGCACUGAGGUAAACACUUCGGUGUAAGGAUGUCACUUAUAUGAUUCAUGCUUUGAGUAGUAACAUAAAGGAGGCUGUACACAGUGUUAGCAAGGCAGAUGUCAUUACACUGUUUUCUUGCGUAUUAAAAGUUUAAAAGAAAGUAAAACUUCAAGCAUUGUCUUAACCUGUGUUUUAGUGGAGUUAUACUUGCUUCUGACUUUGUUACCCUACCUGGUCCGUUCUGGUUUCUGCAGUCAUGCUCUUCAGUUAAGGAUUGAGUUCAAGAGAGAAUUGGGAGAGUCUUGGAGAGUGGUGGGACAGGAUUCAGACUCUCUGAGAAUCGAAGGAGGGAAGUGCUGAUGUCUGAGGUGGCCUGGAGUGAGCUGACUCUACCUUCACUGAAGAGACUGAAAAGUGGAGAACAAGCCUCUGACCUUGCUGCAGAAGACUGGGAAGGGAGCAAUGCACCUGAGCAAGCCCCUGAGUAUGUCAGGAGAUACAAGUACUACUGCAGUGCCGGAAAGCACUGGAAAGCAGAGUUCUGUGAAUGAAGGUUUUGUGAUCUAAAUAAUCUCUGAGACUGGCAGGACCUUCACAAGGAUCAGAGGUCAGACCAAGCAAGGCUAGGUGGUGGAGCUGGUGGGAAGGCUUGUGAGCGCAGCCUUGGGUUCCCAGGGGAGAAAUUGCUUCCCUGCUGGCAGGAGCCCUUAUACUGUGCAAAGCCACUGGGACACCUGCAGUGUGGAUGCAAGAGGUAGGAAAAGAGCAGAGACUUGCUUACUGGUUUUAGCUGUUUGCAUCUGGUUGCCAAAACAUCUGAGUGUCCAUUGCAAUUACAUACAGGUUGCUAAAACAGAGACCUGGCUAAUUCCAUGGCUGAUAUAAGAACUGCUGCACUGAUGGUUUGUUGGGACAUCUGGAUUCUCCCAGAGAAAUUAGGAGGAUCCAGCAUGAAUAAACAAGCUGUUAAUGCUGUUACACCUGCAUCCUCACCGAGAGCAGGCUCCCAGCCCUGUCACUGCCCAUGGUCCCUUGUGCUCGACAGAGAGGGCUGCUGUGCAGCAUGCACCCUUACCUGCUGCUCGUGGGCUGCUUGCCUGGAUGGGUGUAUAAGAGGCGCACGAUGCGGUGACACUGCCAUGGCUGCAUGCACUGGGCUGGUAACUGGAGCUUGCAUCUGUGCACCAGAAGAGCUCCACAAUCCUCUAUUCCCACUGUAUCACCCAGGCGCUAAGCCUUUGACUCCAGAAAACACCACCAACAGUUGAAGGAUCUUCUAGGAAUGCCUCCAGGCAUGCGGGGCAGAUCCAAGUUUCCAAGACCUGCUGCAGCUGACGGCAGAGGCAUGUGAAACCAUUAGUAAGUGGACUCAGUAUGUCCACCAGGCUGAAAAAUAAGCCAGGACUGUGUCUUAAUUGUACUAAAUCAUUAAGUACCGGUCACUCCCCCUUGGUUGUAGUGGUUGUUUUUCUGUCAAGAGUCUGUCAAGCUUUUACCUUGGCAGUCAUCCAAAUGUCACAGUUGUGGAUGUGCAACUUGGAGGAAGAGAUCACAGCCAUA